UUGACCCCCCUACUGCUACCAUUACUAAUAUUUCUUAUUUGCCCUUAAAUUAAGGACAAAAGUGGUAUUUUAAUUUUUUUAAAUUAUAGUAGAUAUUUAACUCAUAUUUAAUUCAAGUUAACUUAACGGAUAGUAACUGUAGGAGCAUUUUGGAAUAACGGUGUAACAUAUGAGAAAUAUAUUAGAAAAAAAAUAAAAAUAAAUGAGAUAUUUUUAAAGUUUUGAGGGGUAUAUAGAUAAUUAUCCCAACUUUUUAAAAUCAUUUUCCCA
rnacentral:lncRNA from 1 species